rnacentral:rRNA from 1 species
UAGGGAAUAUUGGUAAUCUGGGAAACCGGGAACCAGCAACGCCGCGUGUGCGAUGAAGGCCUUCGGGUUGUAAAGCACUUUUUGAGGGGAUGAGGAAGGACAGUACCCUCAGAAUAAGCCUCGGCUAACUACGUGCCAGCAGCCGCGGUAACACGUAGGAGGCGAGCGUUAUUCGGAUUUACUGGGCGGAAAGCGCGUGCAGGCGGCUCGAUAAGUUGGAUGGGAAAGCGCCCGGCUUAACUGGGAGAGGGCGUUCAAUACUGUCGGACUAGAGGAUGAUAGAGGGAGGUGGAAUUCCGAGUGUAGUGGUGGAAUGCGUAGAGAUUCGGAGGAACACCAGUGGCGAAAGCGGCCUCCUGGCUCAUAUCUGACGCUCAGACGCGAAAGCUAGGGUAGCAAACG